rnacentral:rRNA from 1 species
AAUGUUCGUCACGCAGCUAACCGCAUUAAAAUUGACCCCCCUUGGGAGGACGGUUCGCAAGGUUAAAAACUCAAGUUGAAUUGAUCGGGGGGUGAGCACAACGCGGUGCGAGCACGUGGUUUAACUGGAAUUCAACGCGAAGAACCUUCCCAGGCCUUGGCAUGCAAUCAAUGUUCUAGAGAUAGAGUGGGUGCCUUCCGGGGCGUUGAGUCAGACGGAUCAUGCAUGUCGUUAGUUCCCUUCAGUGCAAAAUAGGUUGAGUAACGUUACGAGCGAGUGCAUCCCUCUUGCUUACCAGCAGGUUAGGGUUGGCGGGCACUGUUCGGUGCCGCCCCCUGACGAACCGGAGGAGGGUGGGGAUGACGUCAAGUCAUCACGGCCCGUACGGCCUGGGAUACACACGUGCUACAAUGGUCGGUACAAAGGGUUGCCAAGCCGCGAGGUGGAGCUAAUCCCAUAAAACCGAUCGUAGUCCGGAUCGCAGUCUGCAACUCGACUGCGUGAAGUCGGAAUCGCUAGUAAUCGCGAAUCAGAAUGUCGCGGUGAAUACGUUCCCGGGCCUUGUACACACCGCCCGUCACACCAUGGGAGUGGGUUGCACCAGAAGUAGCUAGUCUAACCUUCGGGAGGUACCG